rnacentral:rRNA from 1 species
AACGCGAAGAACCUUACCUACUCUUGACAUCCACGGAAUUCGGCAGAGAUGCCUUAGUGCCUUCGGGAACCGUGAGACAGGUGCUGCAUGGCUGUCGUCAGCUCGUGUUGUGAAAUGUUGGGUUAAGUCCCGCAACGAGCGCAACCCUUAUCCUUUGUUGCCAGCGAUUCGGUCGGGAACUCAAAGGAGACUGCCGGUGAUAAACCGGAGGAAGGUGGGGAUGAUGUCAAGUCAUCAUGGCCCUUACGAGUAGGGCUACACACGUGCUACAAUGGCGCAUACAAAGAGAAGCGACCUCGCGAGAGCAAGCGGACCUCAUAAAGUGCGUCGUAGUCCGGAUCGGAGUCUGCAACUCGACUCCGUGAAGUCGGAAUCGCUAGUAAUCGUGGAUCAGAAUGCCACGGUGAAUACGUUCCCGGGCCUUGUACACACCG